rnacentral:rRNA from 1 species
AGGACGAACGCUGGCGGCGUGCUUAACACAUGCAAGUCACGGGGGUCCCGCAAGGGAUAACCGGCGAACGGGUGCGUAACACGUGAACAACCUGCCCUCGUGUGGGGGAUAGCCGGGCUAACGCCCGGGUAAUACCGCAUACGUUCCUUUGGGGGAGUCCCCGAGGGAGGAAAGCUCCGGCGCACGGGGAGGGUUCGCGGCCUAUCAGCUAGUUGGCGGGUAAUGGCCCACCAAGGCGACGACGGGUAGCU